rnacentral:lncRNA from 1 species
GUCUUCUCCCAUUUUCUUGCAUAGUUAGCUGGCAUUUAUCUCCUGUAAUAUUUAUUUUGUAAGACCCAUCUUUUGGAUAUACAUAUAGCGUUACCAUUUUUCAGUUUUCUAAUUCAUUGACUUCUACCUUUACCUUUACUAAUUCCUUAUUUCUGUUUUCCUUUCGGUCCUUUUCUAUCUCCUUUAGUUACAUGUUUAAUUCAUUUAUAGUCAUGCUUUCUUAUUCAUUAAUAUAAGUUUACAGGCUAUGAUUUAUCCUCCUAUUCAUUAACAUAAGCUUGUAGACUAUAAUUUAUCCUCUGACUGUAAAUCCUAUGUGCUGUUAUGUAGUAUUUUCCUUAUUCUUAUGUUCUGUUAUUUAUGUUUAUAAGUUGUUUAAGAAAAGGUUUCUAAAUAUCUAGUAGUGGGGCUUUUUGACUAUCCGAUUUUAUUAAAUUUGAGUUUAUUGCAUUUAUAUUACACAGUUUUGUCUAUAUCAUUAUAUGAUAGUUAUUCAUGUUUUCUUUGUGGCAUAUGAUAUGGUCAUUCCUUUUACUAUCCUACUGAUAGUUAAAAAGUAGGCAUAUUCUUUAUUUUUAAGAUACAAAGUUCAGUAUGUAGCAAUUAAAUCUACCUUAUAAAUCUACCUCGUACUUAUAUUUUUUAAUACUAAGUUAUUAUCGUCUGCUCUUUUUUGUCCCCUUGCUUUGUUACAAACCAAAAAAGGUAUUCACCUGUUAUAACUAACAUUUUUCUAUUUCCCUAGCAUUAUACAGCAUAAUAUAUCUAUUAGUCUAGCAUCAUAUAUCUCUAGCAUUUUCUGUAUAAAUGUUGAUUCUUUAUUAUUUAGUGCCUAUUAUUUACAACUAUUGUAUAUUUAUUGGAAAUUGUACAUAUUAGUAUUAUUGGUACCUUUCUUUAGGUGUGUUUAUCUUUUGCUGUAAUUUAUAUUUAAAUAAACCCA